GAUGAAGAACGUAGCGAAAUGCGAUAAGUAAUGUGAAUUGCAGAAUUCAGUGAAUCAUCGAAUCUUUGAACGCACCUUGCGCUCCUUGGUAUUCCGAGGAGCAUGCCUGUUUGAGUGUCAUUAAAUUCUCAACCUCACCAGUUUUCUGAACUGUUCUCCGAGGCUUGGAUGUGGGGGUUUGUGCAGGCUGCCUCAGCGCGGUCUGCUCCCCUGAAAUGCAUUAGCGAGUUCGAUACUGAGCUCCGUCUAUUGGUGUGAUAAUUAUCUACGCCGUGGAUCGGGGCUUAGACUCGCUUCUAACCGUCCGCAAGGACAAUACCUUGACAAUUUGACCUCAAAUCAGGUAGGACUACCCGCUGAACUUAAGCAUAUCAAUAAUCGGAGGA
rnacentral:misc_RNA from 1 species